rnacentral:lncRNA from 13 species
UGCAGCUAUGCAAAAGUAUGUGCUUGAGCCUUUACAGAACGCGUGGAACACCUUGUGCACGAGCACUGCAUGGAAGCCGUCUCGAUUAGUCGCCUCGAUUUCGGUCUCGCUUGACUCGCGCGAUAAAUCGCAGUUGCGAUAGUGAAGGUGACGUCAUCAGCGAUCGGCGCUCUUUCCCGCCAGCGGAACGCCACGGAGAUGCAGCGCUCUCGAAUCGCUCCUUGAUCAAGAGUUACGUACAGCCUGCGCAAUUGAUCCUGCGUUUGUGGCGUUUCGGUAACAAACGCGCGAGCGUGCGUGGAGAAGCAGCGUUGCGAAGGACUCCGAGGGAAGCAACAACAGAGGCUUUGAUCGGCGCCGGACAGCGCGGGGAAAAGGCGAGCGGCAGCGCAGGCUUGGUCGGCGUCGCGGCGUCCGUCGGUCUGUCCGGGCAGCGCGACUGCGGAAUGCGGGGAGCGUGUUACCGCAGCUUCGUGGCUAAGUAACUUCGCUUGUUGCGCAUCGGAUCAGUGAGCUAGAAUAUUUUUUAUUAUAUUUCAAUACUUUGCGAAUAUCCUAUGCAGAA